GGGAGGGGGGGGCUUAAUCUCUGAGUGAUUUCUAUUGCAGUCUAACUUUUAUCGUGAGAUUUGGUGAAUUCUUUUUUCUGUACUUCCUUCCCCUGCUUUUGUUAGUUGGUUUGUUUGCAUGUACGUGGUUUCAUUUGUUAGGCUAAAUGGUGAGAUAGUAAGAGUUUAGUGUUUAGGGAUGUAAGCAACUACAAAUGUUUCUUUUCCUGUGCUCUCUUCAAUGUUAUCUAAGAUCACAAAUUUGCAAUUUUAACUUGGGGUUCAAGGGGUCUUAGAAAUUCAAGGAAGUAAAGACAGUUUUGAGUGUCCUGGGAUUGUUCGCUGCUGAUUCAACCUCUGUGGUGUUACAGCAGUUUAAAGAGCGAGUAUUGAGCAGAUAUGAGUUGGCAGAGAAAGAUAUUGGUGCUCAAUACAGGAAAGAUCACCCACAGGAAAAACUAAUGAACUUGAGAGAAGUGAUCAGGUUAGAGGCUAUUUGCUAGCAAAGGGAAUUGCUCUAAUGGAUGUAGGAACACAAACUGUUUGGAAGCCUUGCGGAGUAAUUUUUUAUUUUAUUUUUGGAUAGGUGACUUCUCCUGUUAAUCAAUUUGAUGAUCGCAAUUUAGCUAUGCUUAAAACUUCAGCAGAUGAUUACUAUUCGCAUAUGCAUUAUUGAUUUGCUUGCUUAUGAACUUCCUCAAAUGAAAUGAAAGGUAUAAUAAGAGCCUAUAGUGCUCUGUCUUUUCCUUUUAAGAUAAUGUCAUGUGAGGAACUGAGACGGGAACUUGCUUUACAAUUUUAUAGGAUCACAGUUUGUAUAGCUGAAGAGUUGGAGAAAAAUGUAGUUCAUGUUAGACUGAGAGAAUGUUAGUGAACUUAACUGCGCAAAGCCUGAUUAUUAUUCAUGUCGAAGAUAUGAAUGACCCUUUAAUUUUUCUACUUCAAAGAUAUUGAAAUAUUCCACUUUUUACAGUUCGAUGCUUCCAUUCAGUUAGUCUUGGUAUUUUUUCUACUUAUGGAUUCCAUAUGGUGAAGUCCCAUGGUUUUAUCCUUGCGGAGGCGAAGGUGGUUAUAUUUCUUAAGAUAUUCCCAAACCAUGUAGCCAACAAUGUGCUGUAAAUUGUGCUCUUAUUAGAAUGCUAUGUAGCAUUUUAUAUGAAAUUGUUUAAGCCUACUUAGUUACUUUGCUUAAUAGCUAAUUAAAUCCAAUAAUAUUACUAUUAACAUAAUAUCAUGAAUCAUACAAUUAUUAAAAGUUUAGCACUAUUUGAUAGUUCUUGAGUUCUUUACCUUUUUACAAUCUGAUGAUUCUCUUUUUGUGGUUUUGGAGCAUUCAAACUUUAUGGCAUAUAGUUUGUGAUCUAUUGGUUGUCCUUUCUGAUCUGAAGCUGAUUUUAUAGACUGGACACCCCUGGAUUAUAAUAGGAAAAUUGUUGCAGUACAGAGGCUAAAUGUGUCGUCUUUCACUAUGCUUCCCCUUCUCCUCAUUGUUUAUGCUCAUCAUUCAUUUGUUCUCAGUCCUACCUGGAGUGCUUCUGUGCAAUCAAGGACAACAAACAGUUGUGCUCUGUUAAGGGUAUUUUGUAGACUCGCUGACGUAUAUGCUGAAUCAGGAAGAAUCUCUUUUUUACUUUGUGUGUGAGUGAAGGUUAUUGAAAUUAAUUAACUAAUACUCUCUCUAUUUCAAUUUAUGUGAACUUAUUUCCUUUUUAAUUCGUGUCAAAAUAAAUGACCUUUUCCCUAAUUUGGAAACAAAUUCACUUUAUGAAAUGAUUUACAGCCACACAAAUAUUCAAGACUUAUUUUGAACCACAAGUUUCAAAAGUCUCCACUCUUUCUUAAAUAUCGUGCUCAGUCAAAUGGGUUCACAUAAAUUGAAACGGAGGGAGUACUAAAUUUGCAGAUUUGGUCUCAAUGUAGGAUCUCACAAAUUUUACAGGGGUAUGGACAUUGGAAUUUUUUUUCUAGAAUUUGUAAAUCUCUAUUUCGGUGUUAUCAAUCAUUCAAAUGCUUUGUGUUAAGGAAUCUUGCUUUGGGGAUUCCCUGACGUUCUUCUGGGAAGAAUGACGACGGCAAGGGGGCCAGGAAAGUUUUUUUUGCCUCUGACAUAGCACUACAAAAACAGAAAGAAAGAAAGAAAAAAACAACUGUGAGUUGAGUACCUCUUUACUGCUUGCGUGAAGAUAUAUGGGUGUCUGCUGUGUAGGAUAAAGUAACUAUACUUCAAUUUGCUUGAAUUGAUGGUUCAGAAUCAUAAGAUUUGCGUAACAUACAUAAGUUGAUAUAGACUUAUUCCAACUAUGCCUUAUUAUUUCCUUAUAUUGAUAAUAUUUUGGACGAAUGUUGUAUUUUCCCAGUUAGCAAAGGUUAUCAUGUUCCUUCCUACAUGCAGAUUGCCAAGGAAGGAAAGAUAUAUUCGGGGGAUGGAGCAUGUGCCAACAAUAUCCAUGUGUAUGUAGAAAAAUGUUGAAGGGAAGUGCUAACUUUGACUAAGAGAAUGAUGAUAUCCGUAGAUCAAUAGAAGAUGACGGAAUCUGCAGGAAGCAUAAGGAAAGUCAUAAAUUCUUAUCUCUUAAUGGAAGAUGUAACACAGAAUGACUGAAAUGGUUUUCAAAGGGGGCAUGCCGCCCCCUUUAAUUACUAUUUUGUUCAUUCUAACAUAAAAGCGGAUAAGCUUAUGUACUUUUUUAAUUCGCAAUCCUUGAUAUACACUUUAAUGUUCUAUUUGAGCAAA